rnacentral:rRNA from 1 species
GGGGAAUUUUCCGCAAUGGGCGAAAGCCUGACGGAGCCAUACCGCGUGAGGGAAGAAGGCCUUUGGGUCGUAAACCUCUUUUGAUGGGGAAGAAGGCAGUGACGGUACCCAUCGAAUCAGCAUCGGCUAACUCCGUGCCAGCAGCCGCGGUAAUACGGAGGAUGCAAGCGUUAUCCGGAAUUAUUGGGCGUAAAGCGUCCGCAGGUGGCUGCUCAAGUCUGCUGUUAAAGGCCGGGGCUUAACUCCGGAAAGGCAGUGGAAACUGAGGAGCUAGAGACCGGUAGGGGUAGAGGGAAUUCCCAGUGUAGCGGUGAAAUGCGUAGAGAUUGGGAAGAACACCGGUGGCGAAAGCGCUCUACUGGACCGGUACUGACACUCAGGGACGAAAGCUAGGGGAGCGAAUGGGAUUAGAUACCCCAGUAGUC